rnacentral:rRNA from 1 species
GACGAACCGUGCGAACGUUAUUCGGAAUCACUGGGCUUAAAGGGCGCGUAGGCGGGCUGUCAAGUCUGGGGUGAAAUCCCACGGCUCAACCGUGGAACUGCCUUAGAUACUGACGGCCUCGAGGAAGGUAGGGGCAUGCGGAACUGUAGGUGGAGCGGUGAAAUGCGUUGAUAUCUACAGGAACGCCGGUGGCGAAAGCGGCGUGCUGGACCUUUUCUGACGCUGAGGCGCGAAAGCUAGGGGAGCAAACGGG